AAUGACAAAUAAACAGAAAUUUGUGAUAAGAAAAAAUGCGGAAAUUCGUGACACUAUCACGAAAAAGAAUCAAAAAAAUUAUGUGACUAUAGGUACAUAACUUUGUGAGACUGGGUAGCUUAACGCCACCUCAGUCAAAAAUUUGAUAAUGAUCAUAACCGAAUGAUCUCGGCUCGUAUUAUAGGUUCAUCAAACACCUGUCUUCAAAUCCGCUAAACAUCAAAUCGAUUUUUUAGAUAAGUCCUUUUAAGUGCACCAUGGCAUACAAUACGACCAUGGCCCCUUGUGACUAUUUGGAUGUAAAUACCUAAUGUCUGGUUCAGUUUCUUCAUUUUUACAUUCUGAGAGGGUUUUGCCGUGAAAGACAAAUUUGUUAAAUACCAAUGAAAUGAAUAAAGUGACAUUUGUGAAAAUAAGGCCUUUCAAUUACUGACUAAUAACCUUUUCAUUGCAAUUAAAGUGAACCUAAACAUAAAAGCCUCAUAAAAAUGCUCAUUUACAAGAAAACAUGUCAGACGCACUUGAAGGUUUUGCAUCUGAACUCCUCAAUUGUGCAUUUUGAAUGAAAAAAAAAUAUAUGUUCUUAGUAUGUUUGAACAGAUUCUGGUCAUAGUCACACAUUUAGCCUUAUUUAAAGCUUUUUCAAAACUGACACAUCAUUAAUGUGGUUUCUUCUAUUUCUGAUGUAAACUAAACUGUUUUUGGCUGCUUUACACGUUGGUCAGAUGGUCUCUUCUGUGGAAGUGGGUGUUUCUAGUAUAGAAUAAACUGCAAAGGGUUGUCGGGCUAUGCAAGAGUGAGGUAGAUGUAUGAAGAGAUGUAUGCACAUUAUACAAUCAUGUGCUCUUUUAUUUUAGUGCGGACCAGCAAUAUCUUUCUUGUAGUCUUGCAGUAAAAUAUCGAACAUUAAAGUCUUGAAAUUAAAACUGA